rnacentral:rRNA from 1 species
UACAGGGCGAAUGUCUUGUAAUUGGAAUGAUGGUGACCCAAACCCUCACCAGAGUAGCAAUUGGAGGGCAAGUCUGGUGCCAGCAGCCGCGGUAAUUCCAGCUCCAAUAGCGUAUAUUAAACUUGUUGCAGUUAAAAAGCUCGUAGUUGUAUUUUUGCGUUNACGGUUUGACCAUUUGGUUGGUUAUUUCGUUUUCGCUUUUGGGAAUUUCCCUUUUUACUUUGAGAAAAUUAGAGUGUUUCAAGCAGACUUUUGUCUUGAAUACUUCAGCAUGGAAUAAUAGAGUAGGACUUUGGUUCUAUUUUGUUGGUUAUUGAACCUUAGUAAUGGUUAAUAGGAACG